UACAGAGGGGGCGAGCGUUGUUCGGAAUUACUGGGCGUAAAGGGCGCGUAGGCGGCCUGCUAUGUCGAACGUAGCGAAAUCCCCGGGCCUCAACCCGGGAACUGCGUCCGAAACUGGCAGGCUCGAAUCCGGGAGAGGGAUGUGGAAUUCCAGGUGUAGCGGUGAAAUGCGUAGAUAUCUGGAGGAACACCGGUGGCGAAGGCGGCAUCCUGGACCGGUAUUGACGCUGAGGCGCGAAAGCCAGGGGAGCAAACGGG
rnacentral:rRNA from 1 species